GACGAACGCUGGCGGUGUGCUUCACACAUGCAAGUCGAACGAGGUAGCAAUACCUAGUGGCGGACGGGUGAGUAACGCGUGGGAAUCUGCCCAUAGGUGGGGGAUAACUAGCCGAAAGGUUAGCUAAUACCGCAUAUGCCGAAAGGUAAAAGGAGUAAUCCGCCUUUGGAUGAGCCCGCGUCCGAUUAGCUAGUUGGUAGAGUAAAAGCCUACCAAGGCGACGAUCGGUAGCUGGUCUGAGAGGAUGAUCAGCCACAAUGGGACUGAGACACGGCCCAUACUCCUACGGGAGGCAGCAGUGGGGAAUUUUACGCAAUGGGGGGAAACCCUGACGUAGCGACACCGCGUGAAUGAAGAAGCCCUUUGGGGUGUAAAAUUCUGUCGGCUGGGAGAAAAAAUGACGGUACCAGCAAAGGAAGCAUCGGCUAACUACGUGCCAGCAGCCGCGGUAAU
rnacentral:rRNA from 1 species